UUAUGAUGACUUUCGAUACGUUCGUAUUAUAUCUUAAUAUUAUUGGUUGUAUAAAAUUCAAAUGUUUUGAUUGGACGUUAAUUUAAAAGAUAACCAAUCAGAUUUUCGAGAAGCGAUCUUUCGUUGGUUUGUUCUUAAAGUUUCGUAGAUCAGCUAUGUGUUGCGCAUUAGUAUUGUGCGCAAGAUCCGCGUGUCCAUUGUACAAUUAGUUCGAGGAAAAAACAGGAAUACAGAGAGUAGAGUAGAGACGAAGUAUUAACCUCGAUAAUGAAGUUAUAAUAAAUUAUUUACGAUUAUUCACUUCUAUAUAUCGUCAAAGAGAUCAAGUAUGAAGAUUCUCAUAAGCAUAAAUAUUAUUAAAUGAAUUAUAGGUAAAAUUAUAGGUUAAAAAUUAAUAUAAUUGAAAACUUGAAAACUUGAAACGGGAAAGAGAUAUAAAGAACGAAGUGCAAAAGUGGAAAGGAGAAGAUAGAAGUAGAAGUAGAAGUGGAAGUGGAAGUGGUGGUGGUAGGAAUAGUGGUGGUGGCAGUACGAGCGAACCAGAAGGUGGAGGAGGUUUGGGGAAGGUUUGCCAGCCGCCGGAAGAGCAUCGACGGUGACGGGGGCGGGGAAGCUGUCCACCGAACGGAACGACCGCUCGGUGAUACGAACAGCGAGUCAAACGGUUCCCCAAACGAAUACGGAUAUAUCGAUCAUCUACAAUAGUCGCCUAAUUUUGUGUUAGCCGGUAUCCAACGGCGGGGGAAGGAGGAGGA